CACUUGAUUACAUUGUGGCAUCAACUCAGUGUCCAGUCUUAGCAACCAUAUCAGAUUCAUUUUUUCCACAAUGAUCUAAUCUGAUCCUGCAAGUCUUCGAACAGGGCACCCAUCUCCAUUGUAACUGAGUCCAUCCAUCUUGCUGCUGGCUAUCCUCUUCUCUUUCCUUCCACCUUUCCCAUCAUUAGAACCUUCUCCAGAGAGGUGGGUCUUCACAUCUGUGUCUGCUGUAGGAUAAUUUGAGCUUGAACACGUGUGCCAUACUGUUAUGAAACUGGGACAACCUCAGUUUGAGUGAAUAAUGAAAACAGACAUGUACAGAGAAGCAGAUGCAGUAUCUUCUCUACAAUUAAAACAUCUGGGUUCAGCUUGCAAGGAUACAUCUAGACUUCUGCUUAUAAUGUAAGAGUCCUAUCCAACAGCCUUGUUAAUAGGCGAUAGAGCAGUAAAUGGUAGAUCCAGCUUUAGAAGAGGCAUAGUAUAACAAGUACAUUGGAAGUUUUCAAGCAAAGUUUUGACAGCUGUUUGUCUGAAAAAAUAUGUGGAUUCCUGUACUGGGCUUGGGGUUGAAUGAGAAGUGCUCCAAGAUACCUUCUAGCCCUAUGAUUCUAUGAUUAAUGGAACAAUCCUGCAUAGGUUACAAGAAGUGUUUGUUCCAGUUUAUCAUUGUGUAGGCAAAUCUUAAAUUGUGGAUUAAAAAUGGAGAAAUUUGAAAAAUCAUGAA